rnacentral:SRP_RNA from 1 species
UGCUGGUCCCCCCGCAAUGAUAGAUUGUGAAUCCCGCCAGGCCCGGAAGGGAGCAACGGUAGCAGUUGAUUCGUGUGCCGGGGUGUGGCUAGCAGAG